GUUUUUUCUUACAGUUUGUAUCCUUUGCUGCUAUUGGUGGACAGUAAAGAAAGGAAUAUGCAAUACUCGCCUCCGUGUCUUUCAUAAAAUCAUGACUUUUUGUCAUGAAAUAGCAAAACCAUGUAAUUGUCUUAGAUAAGAUACGUGCAGUACCAGCUAGGAACGAUGAAUGAUAAAGGAUACACUGUGGCUACUUCCCUAAAUGGAUGUUAUCGCAGAAACAAAGUAUCCCAUUAGCCAAUAUUGUUAAGAGUCUUAGAUAACAGUGCAGUAUAAUAUAGAUUGGAGUGGCUAGGUAGGGAGGUAGCUGUAUGAAUAACCUUAGAUAAUAC